GUGCUUGCUUAAGCAGCCUGUGUACUCAGAUUGGAACAAUAUAGAAAGGCUAGCAUGACACCUGUGCAAAGAUGGUAUGCAAAUUCUUCUAUGCUUCAAAUUUUAU
rnacentral:snRNA from 1 species